rnacentral:rRNA from 1 species
UACGGAGGGUGCGAGCGUUGUCCGGAAUCAUUGGGCGUAAAGGGCGCGUAGGUGGCCCGGUCAGUCUUUGGUGAAAGCGCGGGGCUCAACCCUGCGUCGGCCAGGGAUAUUGCCGCGGCUGGAGCACUGUAGAGGCAGGCGGAAUUCCGGGUGUAGCGGUGGAAUGCGUAGAGAUCCGGAAGAACACCGGUGGCGAAGGCGGCCUGCUGGGCAGUGGCUGACGCUGAGGCGCGACAGCGUGGGGAGCAAACAGG